rnacentral:rRNA from 1 species
GUACGGGGGGGGGCAAGCGUUGUUCGGAAUUACUGGGCGUAAAGGGCUCGUAGGCGGCCAACUAAGUCGGAUGUGAAAUCCCCAGGCUCAACUUGGGAACUGCAUCCGAUACUGGAUGGCUUGAAUUCGGGAGAGGGAUGCAGAAUUCCAGGUGUAGCGGUGAAAUGCGUAGAUAUCUGGAGGAAUACCGGUGGCGAAGGCGGCAUCCUGGACCGACAUUGACGCUGAGGAGCGAAAGCUAGGGGAGCAAACGGGG